rnacentral:tRNA from 1 species
UCCCUGGUGGCUCAGUGGUAAAGAAUCUGCCUGCCAAGCAGGAAACAUGGGUUCAGUCCCUGUGUGAGGAA